AGAGAUGUGUACAAGGGGUGGUGGUGUAAGGGCGUGCGCGGUGGGUGGUAGUUGGGCAGACAGACAAUAGAUGCCUACUUUACUCCAGUGGAUUCUCCUUAACAGAGCCACGAGAAUAACAACCCAGCCACACUAGCUCCAGAGAGAUUGACGGAUUCAUUGAAUAUCAACAGGAAGAAACGGUGGGAAAAGAAUGACAUCACGUUGACAAGCGCCCAUGUCCCCUCGCCCCUGAGUCCAGCUGGUGAAGCACCAUGCUUUGGCUUUCCCUCCCGCGGAGCGGUGCCGUCCUCCCUGGGUCUGGUCGGAUCUUCGGGAAGCUGGAUCCAGGAAAGCAUUCCAGGAGGUAGGGCCCUGGGGCUGGUGGACUGUGGGUCUUGGUCCCUCACAGAAUGACUCAGGGGAUCUUAGCCGGGCUCGAACUCUCCUCUCUGGCCAUUAUGGAAUUUUCAGGCCCAUCAUUGGCCAGAGACCUAAAUUCAGUUCAAAGUCAGAGAAAGUUUCUCUUUGGCUGAAGGACAAGAAGAGGGGAGGCUCUGGGUGCCAUGCUAGGGACCAGAGGGUCCCCUCUCCUUUAUCCACUGCUGACAGUCAGUACUCCCUAUUAGAACCAAGAGCAGGUUGGAGGCGUCCUCAUGGGUGUUCAAAGGGCAACAUGCCGAACAUGUGUGGUGUGUUUGCUUGUGGGCAGGUGGGGGCGGGAGCACAUCUCACAUGGGAAGGUCCCUUUGGUGUGAGGGUCCCUCAACCAUACAGCACAAAGUGACCACAUUCAAGGGCCUCAUCGCCGUGGGUGAAGCCUGUGAGGAGACAGAACCACUUCCCUAGGACAGUUUUCAUUAGUAACAUGAUUUCAACAUCACCGAAAAGGGAGGGUGCCAUUUCCUGCGAUGGUUUUCGUUACUGCCCUCCCCACCUGGAGGUGGUUCUUGAGGCCUGACAGGCUCUUUUGGGGAGGAGACCCAAGCUGUCAUGCUGAGGAGGCUCCCAAGCUGCAGCCCCUCGGAGGUGGGGGAAUAGGCAGGGAGCUUGGGGAGCUAGGAGGAGGAAGAGGUGGGAGGGGGAGGACAAGCACCGGGCCGGGCCAGGGAGGUUCCCAUUGCCUCCUCAGCCCUGUGGACUCAGAGCCAUGUCCUCCCUGGGGACAGGGUCCAUCCAGCCCCUCAUGCCCUAGAACCAGGAACUCAUCCCAGAAUCACCCUCCUUGUGUGUGGGAUCAGAGAGGUUUCCUAUGAACAUAAGUCAUUAAAACCCAACUUUGCUAGAAAAAAAAAAAUUUAAAAACACGGAUAUAUCAGGUUCUCAGGCAAAGACGGUGUUGAGUUGGUCUCCGGAAUGAUGGAAGUCUAGGGCUGGGGGGGUCUCCCCCAACCUCUUUCUGUACUUUGGUCCCAUGCUCUGUGCCCGAGUUAUUCCAGCAGUGGGGACAGAGUCGUCCAGUGCUUGAGCUCCAUCUCUACAGCUCCUGACCAAGAGAACAGGUGCUGGCACCCCAGGAGGUGAUGGUGGCUCAGGAGAGGACCUGGCUAAGUCCCUGAGCUGUGCAGAACAGGGAGGUGCCCACCAGCUCCAAGGCCAGGGCGGAGGCCCAGGGCCCCUAUCUCAGUCACUGCAUCCCGAGGACUCGUAGAUGUUCCUUCCACAGCCCGAGUCUCUUCUGGAAACGUGGCCAGGGCAGGAAGGCUCUGCAGAUCCAUCUCUCUAAGUGGCCAUGUCUUUAGUCAGAGGUUCGGAGAAGUUCAUGUAGAUAGGCUGUUCCCCUGGCUCCUCAGGGACCCUCUGAGACCCCUUCAACCAGAGGAUGGCAGUGACCAAGAUGAGCAAGAUGGGCACCUUCACAAAUACCAGGAGCAUGUAGUGGUUCCUGGGGAAGGGGAUGCAGUGGUCAGAGCCCUGGGCAUCCCCAGGCCAUGUCACUCCCAUCCCCUGACCCUGUGAGCCACCAGCCAAAGCCUGUGACCCUGGGCCGGGCAGCCCCACUCUGAAGAUUCCUGUAAACCUCCUCCUUGGUUCAACCUCAAGGGGUCCUCCAACAGUCACCUUGGCUGGUUUUGCACGGGGCCCAUCUUCCUUUCUAACAUCACCUUCUGGGACCCUCUUUGCCCAAAGUACAUCUCAGCUCAACAGAAGCGCCAGAGGUCACCAAAUACAGGUUGUGUUUCCUGCCUCUGUUCCUGCUAAUGCUAGCUCCAGGCUGGUAAAUCACCCUUCCUGUUCUGUGUCCCUUGAUGUCUUGCACCACAGAGGGUGGUAUCUUAUCUCCCCCUGGCACCCAUUAGGCCACCAAUGCAAGGUUGACUGAUUGACUGGGAGAAUGAUGCUCACUGAGAAGAGUUCUGCAGAGCGGUUUUCUGGUGAGAGCUAGAGUGGGGAGAUGGUGGAUUGCAGUGAUGGGGGCAGGAGAGAGAUGGAGGGUGGGCUUGGGGCCUUGACUCUGGCUAGAACAGGUGCUGGCAUUUGGUGACAGGCAGGAGUUCCCAGGCUUGGCUUCCCCUUAGGAGGGACCCCAGGUAGGGGCAGGAGAAAGAACCACAUGACUCACCUCUUGUGGGAGCCGAUGAACACUGCCAUAUUGCUGUUGGUA
rnacentral:lncRNA from 1 species